rnacentral:rRNA from 1 species
GAUUAUAAUUUCAAGUCUGACCUGCCCAGUGAGGUAUUUAACGGCCGCGGUAUUUUGACCGUGCAAAGGUAGCAUAGUCACUAGUUUUUUAAUUGAAAGCUUGAAUGAAAGGUUUGAUGAAAAAAGGACUGUCUCUAUAAAAAUUUAUUAGAAUUUUAUUUUUAAGUUAAAAAGCUUAGAUGAGAAUAGAAGACGAGAAGACCCUAUAGAGUUUUAUAUUUUUAAAAUAAUAAAAUUUUAAGGUUUUGAAAUUUGUUUAUUUAUAAAAAUAUUUUGUUGGGGUGAUAGAAAAAUUAAAUUAACUUUUUUUAUAUUAAUACAUUUAUUUAUGAUUAAAUGAUCCUAAAAUUUAGAUUAUAAGAUUAAAUUACCUUAGGGAUAACAGCGUAAUUUUUUUUAGAGUUCUUAUCGAAAAGAAAGAUUGCGACCUCGAUGUUGGAUUAAAAUUAAUUGUUGGUGAAGGAGCUGAUAAAUUAGGUCUGUUCGACCUUUAAAAUUUUACAUGAUCUGAGUUUAAACCGGUGUGAG